rnacentral:rRNA from 1 species
UUAUCGGAGAGUUUGAUCCUGGCUCAGGACGAACGCUGGCGGCGUGCCUAAUACAUGCAAGUCGAGCGAACAGAUGGGAGCUUGCUCCCUGAUGUUAGCGGCGGACGGGUGAGUAACACG